rnacentral:rRNA from 1 species
UCCUACGGGAGGCAGCAGUGGGGAAUCUUGCACAAUGCGCGAAAGCGUGAUGCAGCAACGCCGCGUGGGGGAAGACGGCCUUCGGGUUGUAAACCCCUUUCAGUUGGGACGAAGCUUCGACGGUGAAUAGCCGGCUGGAGUGACGGUACCUUCAGAAGAAGCCCCGGCUAACUACGUGCCAGCAGCCGCGGUAAUACGUAGGGGGCAAGCGUUGUCCGGAAUCAUUGGGCGUAAAGCGCGUGUAGGCGGUUCGAUAAGUCUGCUGUGAGAGUCCAGGGCUCAACCCUGGGAUGCCGGUGGAUACUGUCGGGCUAGAGUACGGAAGAGGUGAGUGGAAUUCCCGGUGUAGCGGUGAAAUGCGCAGAUAUCGGGAGGAGCACCAAUUGCGAAGGCAGCUCACUGGGACGUCACUGACGCUGAGACGCGAAAGCGUGGGGAGCAAACAGGAUUAGAUACCCUGGUAGUCCACGCCGUAAACGAUGGGCACUAGGUGUGGGGGGUGUCGACUCCCUCCGUGCCGAAGCUAACGCAUUAAGUGCCCCGCCUGGGGAGUACGGCCGCAAGGCUAAAACUCAAAGGAAUUGACGGA